AGUCUCGUCACAAUGUCUCUGAAGGGCCUUGACUUCAUAUGUGCUAAUAAGGAAAAGCUUUGCCUUAAUUUUAGACCUUCGAAAUUCUCAUUGGUUUGUGCAGGGUGUGGCCACUUGGAAUUUAGGCAAGACUUCAGACGCUUCUGGCAUAGCACAGCACAGCCAGCUGGAAUAAACCAUGAAGGAAAAGGAUCUUGGACAAAAGUACCAGGCAGCCUCAGAGGAAGACCCUCCAGAGAAAGCUCACGAGCAAUAUCCUGA
rnacentral:lncRNA from 1 species